UACGUAGGGAGCAAGCGUUGUCCGGAAUUACUGGGUGUAAAGGGAGCGUAGGCGGGGAUGCAAGUUGGGUGUUAAAUCUACCGGCUCAACUGGUAGUCGCACUCAAAACUGCAACUCUUGAGUGAAGUAGAGGCAGGCGGAAUUCCUAGUGUAGCGGUGAAAUGCGUAGAUAUUAGGAGGAACACCAGUGGCGAAGGCGGCCUGCUGGGCUUUUACUGACGCUGAGGCUCGAAAGUGUGGGGAGCAAACAGG
rnacentral:rRNA from 1 species